GGUCGAUUAAUUGCUUAACUCCAUUCAUUAGAAACAAUAUGAAACAAUAUAAAAUUUUGUUUAAUAAUGGACUCAGUUUGUGUUAAAUAACUUCUGUAUUUUAGGAAAGUUUUAUACCCAUAAAUGCAAGUGCCUUAAAUCUAAACCAUUGUUUACAUGUGUUUCAAAAAUAAUAAUAAUAAUUUUUUUUUUUUUUUUUUUUUUAUAAAUCUCUGAAACAUGUUAAAACAAAAAUGGCCAAAAGACUCUUUAAUUGGUCCAGGAUCUUAAUUUAAUAGAAGAACCUGCAUCAUGAUUUUUCAAAAUUGUUUAUUUAUUUAAAUUUAUUUACAUUUAUUUUAUUUGUCUAUUUUUACCAUUUAAUUUUGUUAUACUGUGCAUGUGCUCUAUUUUCUAAAAACCUUUGUUAACAUGUACUGCCUUAUUGUGUUGUUUUUAUUGAAUUACAAUCAAUAAAUCAAUCAAUCAAUCAAUGGAUACAUAAAUUGUAGUUUUUUUCGAGCUGAGAGGCUCCAGAAAACAUGACGUCAUUUCCAGUAAGGGAAUAUAGUGAGCAUCGAUACUCCCUGGUUUUUGCAGUGUAUUGUGGGAUUUUUUAGGGAGCGAAUGUUCCAGUGCACUGGAAGAAUUUUGCGAUUGAGACAGACCUUAAAAUGGCCGACUCCCUGAUCAGUGUCCUGAACUACUGAACUAGGGAGCUGGUUGAGAAAAAGAGUGAAGAGGAUGAAUUGAAAGCUUCCCGUCGUCAUCAAUAACCUCAUUACAGGAAACCAACACACGCAUGUUUACGGAAGUUGAUGUGAAAGAGCGCUUCCUUCUCCGCACGCGCUUCGGAUCUCUGAUACUCUGCGUAACAUCACUAAAGUGUCCUGAUUCUUUACACCUUUUAUAAUGAAAUCAGAGUCUAGACGCCUCUCUUUAGGAAAAUCUCCACAGACUCCUGCUGCUACUGGCUCAAAGAUGUACCACUGCUCAGAUUGUGGGAAGAGUUUUACUAAAAGUCGUCAUCAUCUCAAAAAUCACGAGCAUGUUCACAUAGGAGAGAAGCCGUAUGAUUGCUCCCAGUGUGGGAAGUUUUACUUGUCAGAGUAAUCUCCGACAACAUGAGCGCAUUCACACAGGUGUAAGGCCGUAUCUCUGUGGACAGUGUGGAAAGGGUUUUAUUUACCAGAGUUAUCUUCAACGACACCAGUGCAUUCACACAGAAGAGAAGUAUCACUGUGGACAGUGCAGGAAGAGUUUUACUUGUCAGAGUAAUCUCCAACGACACGAGCGCAUUCACACAGGACAGAAGCCGUAUCACUGUGGACAGUGUGGGAAGAGUUUUAGACAAGAGAUUCAUCUUCGGAUAUACCAGCGCAUUCACACAGGACAGAUGCCGUACCUCUGCGGACAAUGUGGGCGGAGCUAUACUCAUUCAAGUUCCUUAAGGACACACAAGUGCUCUGACAUAAAGCCACCAGCUCUUGAUAUGUGAAUUUCUUAAAUUUAGAUACAUCUUUUUAAUUUUCCUCUUUUUUUGCGGGAGGUUAAGGGAAAUUCUGGCAUAAAACCUCUCUUGCAAGGGACUUUAUUGCUUACUGUCCACUUUGUAGUAGAAUUCAUGUCAUUUUCCUGGUUUCACCUGAAUGCUAUACACCAAGAAUGCAAUACAACAAUACAUAUUUAACCAAUGGCUAUCCCUACUUUAAUUGACCAAAGAUUUUAAAAAAUUUUUUUAAUGCAAGCUAGAAUUUUGUUUCUUAAAUGUCACGUUGUGCAUACUAUCGAACUGGACACCUUUCCAAGCCAAAAGAAGAUGGAUGUGUUUACAGGCAAUUUGAAGAGAUAAUUCCCAGUUGCUCUGGAUUUGCAACGUUGGUUUAACUACAGCUAACUACCCUGUCUGGCCAAAAGUAUGGGGAUGCCUGACCACCACACCCAUAUAUGUCUUUUGAACAUCCUCUGAUGGAACUGCAUCCAAUCCAUGGUCCCUUGAGCCCAGUUUUCCUGAUAAAGUUUUUAGAUUUACUGCAACCCUGACCAGGAGAACACAGUUACACUGUAAGAUCAAUGAAUGGAUUUUUCUAGUAAGAUGAGGUUUGUAUGACCUGCAAGUCUUAGAAUUUUAUGCAGGGUCACUAUCACAAUUGUGGAUAUACAGUGAAUGGAGCAUUGAGAGAGUACAUUACCAGGGGUCUGGGUUUGAUGACCCCUUCACUUUGAUAAAACACAUAUUUUAUCAUUUAUAAAGUGUAUACUUUUUUUUAUUAAUGAACAAAAAUUCUCCAUAGUGCAAAUCAUAAACAGGUUUUCUCAUAGUUGUGUAAUAUCUUUUAAAAAAUCUGAUAUUAUGUGUAUAAAUCUUCAGAUGGUUUUCUUUGACACUCACGGGUAAGCUCAUGCAUAUUAAUCAUACUUCAUCAAACUUGAUUCAAGUUUACCUGUGGAAUUUUUAAUGAGAGUCAAAUUACAUUACUACCACUUUAAUCAUCAAUAGAUCUGUAAUGAUGCUAUUAGAUGGUGGGCAAAGGUCCACCACAGGUGCUCUAGUAUUACAGGUUAAAUAUUUCAGAUAUCACAGAAUAAAUCUGACACACUUCCUCA